rnacentral:snoRNA from 1 species
GACCUCUCACCCAUGGGGCUGUGGAAGGGGGGGCUCCCCUUUCUCCACAGCCAGGGUUGGAGGCCAAGAUCAGCCCUUGAGGAUCAUUAUUGGGUGUCCAUGAGCGGGCGGCUUUGUUUUCCUGUCUCAGACCUCU